rnacentral:rRNA from 1 species
AGAGUUUAUCCUGGCUCAGAUUGAACGCUGGCGGCAGGCUUAACACAUGCAAGUCGAGCGGUAGCACAGGGGAGCUUGCUCCCUGGGUGACGAGCGGCGGACGGGUGAGUAAUGUCUGGGAAACUGCCUGAUGGAGGGGGAUAACUACUGGAAACGGUAGCUAAUACCGCAUAACGUCGCAAGACCAAAGAGGGGGACCUUCGGGCCUCUUGCCAUCAGAUGUGCCCAGAUGGGAUUAGCUAGUAGGUGGGGUAAUGGCUCACCUAGGCGACGAUCCCUAGCUGGUCUGAGAGGAUGACCAGCCACACUGGAACUGAGACACGGUCCAGACUCCUACGGGAGGCAGCAGUGGGGAAUAUUGCACAAUGGGCGCAAGCCUGAUGCAGCCAUGCCGCGUGUGUGAAGAAGGCCUUCGGGUUGUAAAGCACUUUCAGCGAGGAGGAAGGUGGUGAACUUAAUACGUUCAUCAAUUGACGUUACUCGCAGAAGAAGCACCGGCUAACUCCGUGCCAGCAGCCGCGGUAAUACGGAGGGUGCAAGCGUUAAUCGGAAUUACUGGGCGUAAAGCGCACGCAGGCGGUUUGUUAAGUCAGAUGUGAAAUCCCCGGGCUCAACCUGGGAACUGCAUUUGAAACUGGCAAGCUAGAGUCUCGUAGAGGGGGGUAGAAUUCCAGGUGUAGCGGUGAAAUGCGUAGAGAUCUGGAGGAAUACC